rnacentral:rRNA from 1 species
AGUGAACGCUGGCGGUAGGCCUAACACAUGCAAGUCGAACGGCAGCACAGUAAGAGCUUGCUCUUACGGGUGGCGAGUGGCGGACGGGUGAGGAAUACAUCGGAAUCUACUUUUUCGUGGGGGAUAACGUAGGGAAACUUACGCUAAUACCGCAUACGACCUACGGGUGAAAGCAGGGGAUCUUCGGACCUUGCGCGAUUGAAUGAGCCGAUGUCGGAUUAGCUAGUUGGCGGGGUAAAGGCCCACCAAGGCGACGAUCCGUAACUGGUCCGAGAGGAUGAUCAGCCACACUGGAACUGAGACACGGUCCAGACUCCUACGGGAGGCAGCAGUGGGGAAUAUUGGACAAUGGGCGCAAGCCUGAUCCAGCCAUACCGCGUGGGUGAAGAAGGCCUUCGGGUUGUAAAGCCCUUUUGUUGGGAAAGAAAAGCAGCAGGUUAAUACCCCGCUGUUCUGACGGUACCCAAAGAAUAAGCACCGGCUAACUUCGUG